rnacentral:rRNA from 1 species
UGAGUGCGAGCGGCUACGGCCGCGAAGUGGGUGAUGUCAAGCUUCCAAGAAAAGCCCUAUACCCGUUAAGGCAUGAUGGCCUGUACCCGAAACCGACACAGGUGGGGUGGUAGAGAAUACCGAGGGGCGCGAGGUAACUCUCUCUAAGGAACUCGGCAAAAUGGCCCCGUAACUUCGGGAGAAGGGGUGCCACCGCAAGGUGGUCGCAGUGAAGGGGCCCAGGCGACUGUUUACCAAAAACACAGGUCUCCGCUAAGUCGCAAGACGAUGUAUGGGGGCUGACGCCUGCCCAGUGCCGGAAGGUUAAGGAAGCUGGUCAGCGCAAGCGAAGCUGGCGACUGAAGCCCCGGUGAACGGCGGCCGUAACAAUAACGGUCCUAAGGUAGCGAAAUUCCUUGUCGGGUAAGUUCCGACCCGCACGAAAGGCGUAACGAUCUGGGCGCUGUCUCGGAGAGAGGCUCGGCGAAAUAGAAUUGUCUGUGAAGAUGCGGACUACGUGCACCCGGACAGAAAGACCCUAUGAAGCUUUACUGUAGCUUGGUAUUGUGCCCGGGCUCUGAAUGCGCAGGAUAGGUGGGAGGCUUUGAUCCAUGGCUUGCGGGUCAUGGUGAGCCAACGGUGAGAUACCACUCUUUCAGAGCUAGGGUUCUAACGGUCACCCGUCAUCCGGGGACCGGACAGUAUCAGGUGGGCAGUUUGACUGGGGCGGUCGCCUCCUAAAAGGUAACGGAGGCGCGCAAAGGUUUGCUCAGGCUGGUUGGAAAUCAGCCGACGAGUGCAAAAGCAGAAGCAAGCUUGACUGUGAGACCUACAAGUCGAACAGGGACGAAAGUCGGCUUUAGUGAUCCGACGGUUCUGAGUGGAAGGGCCGUCGCUCAACGGAUAAAAGUUACUCUAGGAUAACAGGCUGAUCUCCCCCAAGAGUUCACAUCGACGGGGAGGUUUGGCACCUCGAUGUCGGCUCAUCGCAACCUGGGGCUGAAGUCGGUCCCAAGGGUUGGGCUGUUCGCCCAUUAAAGCGGUACGCGAGCUGGGUUCAGAACGUCGUGAGACAGUUCGGUCCAUAUCCGGUGCACGCGCAGGAACAUUGAGAGGAUUUCUCCCUAGUACGAGAGGACCGGGAGGAACGCACCUCUGGUGUGCCAGUUAUCGUGCCAACGGUAAACGCUGGGUAGCCAUGUGCGGAGUGGAUAACCGCUGAAAGCAUCUAAGUGGGAAGCCCACCUCAAGAUGAGUGUUCCCAUGGCAUAAGCCAGUAAGGUCACGGGAAGAACACCCGUUGAUAGGCUCUACGUGGAAGCCGGGUAACCGGUGAAGCGGAGGAGUACUAAUAGACCGAGGGCUUGAC